rnacentral:rRNA from 1 species
ACUAAGCGUACACGGUGGAUGCCCUGGCAGUCAGAGGCGAUGAAGGGCGUGCUAAUCUGCGAUAAGCGCCGGUAAGGUGAUAUGAACCGUUAUAACCGGCGAUACCCGAAUGGGGAAACCCAGUGUGAUUCGUCACACUAUCAUUAACUGAAUCCAUAGGUUAAUGAGGCGAACCGGGGGAACUGAAACAUCUAAGUACCCCGAGGAAAAGAAAUCAACCGAGAUUCCCCCAGUAGCGGCGAGCGAACGGGGAGGAGCCCAGAGCCUGAAUCAGCAUGUGUGUUAGUGGAAGCGUCUGGAAAGGCGCGCGAUACAGGGUGACAGCCCCGUACACAAAAGCGCAUGUGCUGUGAGCUCGAUGAGUAGGGCGGGACACGUGGUAUCCUGUCUGAAUAUGGGGGGACCAUCCUCCAAGGCUAAAUACUCCUGACUGACCGAUAGUGAACCAGUACCGUGAGGGAAAGGCGAAAAGAACCCCGGCGAGGGGAGUGAAAAAGAACCUGAAACCGUGUACGUACAAGCAGUGGGAGCCCCACCACUAAGCCAGUGGUGAACUCCACAUCCGCAUCCUUUGCUGAGGAUACGGUUAACGGAGCGAAAGCGACGUUCAACCGCAAAACAAGCAGAGGGGGCUUAGUGGUGGGGUGACUGCGUACCUUUUGUAUAAUGGGUCAGCGACUUAUAUUCUGUAGCAAGGUUAACCGAAUAGGGGAGCCGGAGGGAAACCGAGUCUUAAUUGGGCGUUAAGUUGCAGGGUAUAGACCCGAAACCCGGUGAUCUAGCCAUGGGCAGGUUGAAGGUUGGGUAACACUAACUGGAGGACCGAACCGACUAAUGUUGAAAAAUUAGCGGAUGACCUGUGGCUGGGGGUGAAAGGCCAAUCAAACCGGGAGAUAGCUGGUUCUCCCCGAAAGCUAUUUAGGUAGCGCCUCGUGAAUUCAUCUCCGGGGGUAGAGCACUGUUUCGGCUAGGGGGCCAUCCCGGCUUACCAACCCGAUGCAAACUGCGAAUACCGGAGAAUGUUAUCACGGGAGACACACGGCGGGUGCUAACGUCCGUCGUGAAGAGGGAAACAACCCAGACCGCCAGCUAAGGUCCCAAAGUCAUGGUUAAGUGGGAAACGAUGUGGGAAGGCCCAGACAGCCAGGAUGUUGGCUUAGAAGCAGCCAUCAUUUAAAGAAAGCGUAAUAGCUCACUGGUCGAGUCGGCCUGCGCGGAAGAUGUAACGGGGCUAAACCAUGCACCGAAGCUGCGGCAGCGAACGUAUCACUUAAAGCGAUUCAGCGGGUUACGAUUGACGGAGCGAAGCGACGUCAAAGCGUAUACAAAGUCGAGUCGGUUUAAGGAUACGUUCGUUGGGUAGGGGAGCGUUCUGUAAGCCCGUGAAGGUGGCCUGUGAGGGUUGCUGGAGGUAUCAGAAGUGCGAAUGCUGACAUAAGUAACGAUAAAGCGGGUGAAAAGCCCGCUCGCCGGAAGACCAAGGGUUCCUGUCCAACGUUAAUCGGGGCAGGGUGAGUCGACCCCUAAGGCGAGGCCGAAAGGCGUAGUCGAUGGGAAACGGGUUAAUAUUCCCGUACUUGGUGUUACUGCGAAGGGGGGACGGAGAAGGCUAUGUUGGCCGGGCGACGGUUGUCCCGGUUUAAGCGUGUAGGUGUGUGUUCCAGGUAAAUCCGGUUCACUUUAACACUGAGGCGUGAUGACGAGGCACUACGGUGCUGAAGCAACAAAUGCCCUGCUUCCAGGAAAAGCCUCUAAGCAUCAGGUAACAUCAAAUCGUACCCCAAACCGACACAGGUGGUCAGGUAGAGAAUACCAAGGCGCUUGAGAGAACUCGGGUGAAGGAACUAGGCAAAAUGGUGCCGUAACUUCGGGAGAAGGCACGCUGACACGUAGGUGAAGUGAUUUACUCACGGAGCUGAAGUCAGUCGAAGAUACCAGCUGGCUGCAACUGUUUAUUAAAAACACAGCACUGUGCAAACACGAAAGUGGACGUAUACGGUGUGACGCCUGCCCGGUGCCGGAAGGUUAAUUGAUGGGGUCAGCGCAAGCGAAGCUCCUGAUCGAAGCCCCGGUAAACGGCGGCCGUAACUAUAACGGUCCUAAGGUAGCGAAAUUCCUUGUCGGGUAAGUUCCGACCUGCACGAAUGGCGUAAUGAUGGCCAGGCUGUCUCCACCCGAGACUCAGUGAAAUUGAACUCGCUGUGAAGAUGCAGUGUACCCGCGGCAAGACGGAAAGACCCCGUGAACCUUUACUAUAGCUUGACACUGAACAUUGAGCCUUGAUGUGUAGGAUAGGUGGGAGGCUUUGAAGUGUGGACGCCAGUCUGCAUGGAGCCGACCUUGAAAUACCACCCUUUAAUGUUUGAUGUUCUAACGUGGACCCGUAAUCCGGGUUGCGGACAGUGUCUGGUGGGUAGUUUGACUGGGGCGGUCUCCUCCUAAAGAGUAACGGAGGAGCACGAAGGUUGGCUAAUCCUGGUCGGACAUCAGGAGGUUAGUGCAAUGGCAUAAGCCAGCUUGACUGCGAGCGUGACGGCGCGAGCAGGUGCGAAAGCAGGUCAUAGUGAUCCGGUGGUUCUGAAUGGAAGGGCCAUCGCUCAACGGAUAAAAGGUACUCCGGGGAUAACAGGCUGAUACCGCCCAAGAGUUCAUAUCGACGGCGGUGUUUGGCACCUCGAUGUCGGCUCAUCACAUCCUGGGGCUGAAGUAGGUCCCAAGGGUAUGGCUGUUCGCCAUUUAAAGUGGUACGCGAGCUGGGUUUAGAACGUCGUGAGACAGUUCGGUCCCUAUCUGCCGUGGGCGCUGGAGAACUGAGGGGGGCUGCUCCUAGUACGAGAGGACCGGAGUGGACGCAUCACUGGUGUUCGGGUUGUCAUGCCAAUGGCACUGCCCGGUAGCUAAAUGCGGAAGAGAUAAGUGCUGAAAGCAUCUAAGCACGAAACUUGCCCCGAGAUGAGUUCUCCCUGAGACUUAGAGUCUCCUGAAGGAACGUUGAAGACGACGACGUUGAUAGGCCGGGUGUGUAAGCGCAGCGAUGCGUUGAGCUAACCGGUACUAAUGAACCGUGAGGCUUAACC